rnacentral:rRNA from 1 species
CUACGGGUCGCAGCAGUGAGGAAUUUUGCGCAAUGGGCGAAAGCCUGACGCAGCAACGCCGCGUGAGUGAUGAAGGCCUUCGGGUCGUAAAGCUCUGUCAAGUGGGAAGAACCUAUGUAAUGUUAAUAUCAUUAUAUACUGACGGUACCACUGAAGGAAGCACCGGCUAACUCCGUGCCAGCAGCCGCGGUAAUACGGGGGGUGCAAGCGUUAUUCGGAAUCAUUGGGCGUAAAGGGCACGUAGGCGGCCUGGUAAGGCAGAUGUGAAAGCCCGGGGCUUAACCCCGGAAGUGCAUUUGAUACUGUCAGGCUUGAGUAUGGGAGAGGGAAGUGGAAUUCCUGGUGUAGAGGUGAAAUUCGUAGAUAUCAGGAGGAACACCGGUGGCGAAGGCGACUUCCUGGACCAAUACUGACGCUGAGGUGCGAAGGCGUGGGUAGCAAACAGGAUUAGAUACCCUCGUAGUC